rnacentral:rRNA from 1 species
AUUGAACGCUGGCGGCAGGCUUAACACAUGCAAGUCGAACGAGUGGCGGACGGGAGAGUAAUGCUUGGGAAUCGAGCUUAGGGAGGGGGAUAACUACGGGGAACUGUAGCUAAUACCGCGUACCUUAGCAUGAGCCCCAGUGGGAUUAGGUAGUGGGUGAGGUAAAGGAUCACAAAGCCGACGAUCUCUAGCUGGUCUGAGAGGAGGACCAGCCACACUGGGAGUGGAACACGGCCAAGACUCCUACGGGAGGCAGCAGUGGGGAAUAUUGCGCAAGGGGGGCAACCGGACGAAGCCAUGCCGCGGUAAUGAAGAAGGCCUUCGGGUUGUAAAGUUCUUUCGGUAGCGAGGCGUUAACUACAGAAGAAGAACCGGCUAACUCCGGGCCAGCAGCCGCGGUAAUAC